rnacentral:rRNA from 1 species
CAGUCGCCACGGUAAUACGUAUGUCACAAGCGUUAUCCGGAUUUAUUGGGUGUAAAGCGCGUCUAGGUGGUUAUGUAAGUCUGAUGUGAAAAUGCAGGGCUCAACUCUGUAUUGCGUUGGAAACUGUGUAACUAGAGUACUGGAGAGGUAAGCGGAACUACAAGUGUAGAGGUGAAAUUCGUAGAUAUUUGUAGGAAUGCCGAUGGGGAAGCCAGCUUACUGGACAGAUACUGACGCUAAAGCGCGAAAGCGUGGGUAGCAAACAGGAUUAGAUACCCCCGUAGUCCCUGUCUCUUAUACA